rnacentral:rRNA from 1 species
AUGGCAUCCCGGGAACUACGACACUACUUUCAAGAGUGUUCAAUCACGGUGGCCUCUGAAGUACCAUUCAAUGACAUAAUAAACAACCGCGAUGCCAUGGGCCGGAUUGACAAGUGGGCCAUCAAGCUCCUCCCAUUCGACAUCACAUAUAAACCACGGCGAGCCAUUAAAUCCCAAGUACUGGCGGACUUCGUUGCCGAAUGGACAGAGGCCGAACUCCCUAAAGAGUACGGCACAUACUCCAACUGGAUCAUGCACUUCGACGGCUCUAAAAUGCUGGCAAGUCUGGGAGCAGGUGUUGUCCUCACAUCCCCCACUGGAGAUACAGUCCAAUACGUACUCCAAAUAUUAUACGCAGACUCCAACAAUGCAGCCAAAUAUGAGGCUCUGUUGCAUGGUCUUCGGAUGGCCGUCUCCAUGGGCAUUCAGCGCCUAGAAGUUCAUGCGGAGUCAAACCUUGCAAUAUCUCAAAUAAAUGGAGACUUCGAUGCCAAAGAUCCGAAAAUGGCGGCCUAUCGUAAUGCCGUCCUUAAGAUGUCAGCCCGGUUCGAGGGGCUCGAAUUUCAUCACGUGGUUCGAGAAAACAAUCAAACGGCGGAUGUCCUUGCCCGCAUCGGUGCUAAGCACGACCCUGUCCCACCUAACAUCUUUCUGGAAAGGGUUUUCAAGCCAUCUGUGGUGUGGCAAGGGGAGACCGGUAACAUCAGUCCGGAUCCGACGAUAACCCCAGACUCCGAACACACCGACAUAAUCGGGUGCUAUUCCACCGAAAUAACACCUUCGGCCCACCUCAUCAUGGCUGUUAUCGCCCUAUGGACCGAACCCUUCUUGGCCUACCUUAAUAGGCACGAACUCCCCGGGGAUCAAAAUGAGGCACACUGCAUUAUGCGGCGCUCUAAAGCCAACAAAGUCCAUGAGGGAGAGCUUUAUAAGAAAAGCGCUACCGGGGUACUUCAAAGAUGUAUCUCCGAGGAGGAAGUGCGGAAGCUCUUGGCUGAAAUUCAUGCCGGCCUCGGCGGUCAGCACGCCGCAAAUCGGGCCCUUGUAAGCAAGGCCUUCCAUACAGGUUUCUACUAG